rnacentral:misc_RNA from 1 species
ACACGGACAGCUCUUUCUCCGAGACACCAUAAAAACAAAGAAAACUGGUCUACAGGUGAGCUUGGACAAGAUGUUGAAGGUACCCUUCAAUUCUACGGACCAACUCCAAGCCCUAGCUUCUCAAUGCAGAUUUCUUAAUCAUCACCAUAACAGCCCUCAUUCCACUCGCCGCCCUAACGCCCUCGCUUUCUCCUCCUCCGUCUAUAACUCUAAGACCUCCGUUCAGGCUGUCGUGUCUCAGGGAGACGCCACCCGCGUCGAUUCUGUGUGUGAAAGCUUGGCCAACCGCCUCCGCUUGGGGAACUUGACGGAGGAUGGCUUGUCUUACAAAGAGAAGUUUAUCGUCAGGAGCUAUGAGGUUGGGAUUAAUAAAAC